UUAAACACACUGCAUUUUCUAAACUGAAGGUUCCAUAAGCAUUUGAGUGGUUUGAAGCCAACAGUCUUUGUUAAAAUACAACUAGGAAACAUCAGGGUAUUUUGCACAUUUAAUUCAUUAAAACUUUCUUCCACUUAAAUAAGACAAAUGGCUGGACUGUAUUCCCUCCUCUCCAAAAUGUACUUUUUAAAUGCAAAGUGUACUUUUUAAAUGCAAAGUUUAAAAUAGAGACUGCAAGUUCUGUGCUUGAACAACUAUUAAGUAGAAAGAAUAAAGAAAACUUCCUGAGUUUUACUUUAAGGAAGCUUAAAAUUGAAUUUAGAACAGCAUAUUAGAAAUCUUUAUGCAGAACAUGCUACAGACUGUUUUCAAUUUAUAAGCCUUAACUUU
rnacentral:lncRNA from 1 species